ACUCUAUGGGCUGAGACAUUGAGAUCAUACCAGACGCUAUGAUAUUGUACCACACACGAGUGGGUCAAUGAGACUGUUCCCCACAAUGCUGGGACAGUAAGACUGUACCUCACACGUGGAUGGGACAGUGAGACUGUUCCCCACAACAGUGGGACAGUAAGGCUGUACCUCACACGUGGAUGGGACAGUGAGACUGUACCUCACACGUGGAUGGGACAGUGAGACUGUUGCUCAGAACAGUGGGACAGUAAGGCUGUACCUCACACGUGGAUGGGUCAGUGAGACUGUACCUCACAACAGGGGGACAGUAAGGCUGUACCUCACAUGUGGAUGGGUCAGUCAGACUGUUCCCCACAACAGUGGGACAGUAAGGCUGUACCUCACACGUGGAUGGGUCAGUGAGACUGUACCUCACAACAGGGGGACAGUAAGGCUGUACCUCACACGUGGAUGGGUCAGUCAGACUGUUCCCCACAACAGUGGGACAGUAAGGCUGUACCUCACACGUGGAUGGGUCAGUGAGACUGUACCUCACAACAGGGGGACAAUAAGGCUGUACCUCACACGUGGAUGGGUCAGUGAGACUGUACCUCACAACAGGGGGACAGUAAGGCUGUACCUCACACGUGGAUGGGUCAGUGAGACUGUACCUCACAACAGGGGGACAGUAAGGCUGUACCUCACACGUGGAUGGGUCAGUGAGACUGUACCUCACAACAGGGGGACAGUAAGGCUGUACCUCACACGUGGAUGGGUCAGUGAGACUGUACCUCACAACAGGGGGACAGUAAGGCUGUACCUCACACGUGGAUGGGUCAGUGAGACUGUUCCCCACAACAGUGGGACAGUAUGGCUGUAUCCCACACAUGGAUGGGAUAGUGAGACUGUACCUCACUCUGGUAGAACAAUGAGGCCGUACCUCACAUGGGGCAAUGCGACUGUACCUCACACGGGAGGUACGGCGUGACUGUACCCCACACGCCUGAGGCUGAGGUUGUAGACAGACGGUGCACCUUAAGGGCUACAGGUUGAAAGCGCCGGGGUCUGAGAGGUGUCUUUCUUUGCAGCGAUGAAGCCAAGCCUUUCCUAUCGCGCUGCGGAGGGACUCCGGGCAUUGCUGAGUACUGGAUCUUUCUCGUAAAGCCGGGUUUGUGUACAGCGUUGUACAAUUCCAAAUACAGAUUCCUUGCCAUAAAGAAUAUUCGCCAUUCCGCAUUGAAAUGACAGCUCAUUACAGCAAUUCAACAAUUUGUAUCAAUGCCGCAAAGUGGAACUGGUGAUAUCUCGCAAUCACUAAAGGCCAGUUUCUCGCGAGUGGGAACCUCGAUCGGCGCAGCGGCUGCGAGAGGCACAGAGGACCCGGGCGCUGGGCGGGGAGUGACCACCUGUUCCUGGGGCUCCAGAGAAAGCCCUCUGCCCGCCGACCGAGGGCCGUCUUCUGUUGACCGAAUAAAUGCACGUUAAUGUCUUGCAUUGCAAGCGGGGCCGGGCUCCAGACACCGUUCGUUGCAAUUGCUUAAAUAACCACUCAGAAUAUACACCGGCCUUAAAGAAAUUCAAAGACUCUAUUCAACCUCCCUUGGAAGAAGAAAGUUCCAAAGAUUCACCACCAUUUGAGGGAAAAAAAUUUCGCCUCAUCUCUGUCUUAAGUGAGCAAAUCUUGGUUGUAAAUUCCUCCACGUGAGGACUCAUCCUCUCUACAAUCUACCCUAUGAAGAUCCACCAAGAUUUUACCCGACUGAUCAAGAUCCCCUUGCAAUUGUGCUACCAGAGUGCUGUAGUGGUUUGCUUAUGCCAAUAUCGAGGGAACCAUGUCAGAAAAAAACUGGUACAGUUGAGUAGAAACUUCAGUCCAACGAUCCCAGUGAAGCAGACUCUAGCUGUGAUUGAUGUGAAUAUUAGCCAAUCAGCUCCAAUGUGAAUGUGGUGUCACUGAAUGCAUAGCAACUUCCAUUUAACAAAUUGUGAACUUCUUGAGCAGAUUUGAAUCUAACGUCCAUUGUGUAGAAAAAAAAUACUGGGCAAUAAAUUAGCCCACAUCCUCAGAGGUAAAGGGAAGCGUCUGUGUCAAUGUUUGUCAAGAGGGAAUGACAAUUUAUGUUCUCAUUGCACUCAGGAUGAUUUGGUUAAAUGUGUAUGUAUUAAA